rnacentral:rRNA from 1 species
GAGUGAAAUAGAACCUGAAACCGUGUGCUUACAAGUAGUCAGAGCCCGUUAAUGGGUGAUGGCGUGCCUUUUGUAGAAUGAACCGGCGAGUUACGAUUUGAUGCAAGGUUAAGCAGUAAAUGUGGAGCCGUAGCGAAAGCGAGUCUGAAUAGGGCGUUUAGUAUUUGGUCGUAGACCCGAAACCAGGUGAUCUACCCUUGGUCAGGUUGAAGUUCAGGUAACACUGAAUGGAGGACCGAACCGACUUACGUUGAAAAGUGAGCGGAUGAACUGAGGGUAGCGGAGAAAUUCCAAUCGAACCUGGAGAUAGCUGGUUCUCUCCGAAAUAGCUUUAGGGCUAGCCUCAAGUGAUGAUUAUUGGAGGUAGAGCACUGUUUGGACGAGGGGCCCCUCUCGGGUUACCGAAUUCAGACAAACUCCGAAUGCCAAUUAAUUUAACUUGGGAGUCAGAACAUGGGUGAUAAGGUCCGUGUUCGAAAGGGAAACAGCCCAGACCACCAGCUAAGGUCCCAAAAUAUAUGUUAAGUGGAAAAGGAUGUGGCGUUGCCCAGACAACUAGGAUGUUGGCUUAGAAGCAGCCAUCAUUUAAAGAGUGCGUAAUAGCUCACUAGUCGAGUGACACUGCGCCGAAAAUGUACCGGGGCUAAACAUAUUACCGAAGCUGUGGAUUGUCCUUUGGACAAUGGUAGGAGAGCGUUCUAAGGGCGUUGAAGCAUGAUCGUAAGGACAUGUGGAGCGCUUAGAAGUGAGAAUGCCGGUGUGAGUAGCGAAAGACGGGUGAGAAUCCCGUCCACCGAUUGACUAAGGUUUCCAGAGGAAGGCUCGUCCGCUCUGGGUUAGUCGGGUCCUAAGCUGAGGCCGACAGGCGUAGGCGAUGGAUAACAGGUUGAUAUUCCUGUACCACCUAUAAUCGUUUUAAUCGAUGGGGGGACGCAGUAGGAUAGGCGAAGCGUGCGAUUGGAUUGCACGUCUAAGCAGUAAGGCUGAGUAUUAGGCAAAUCCGGUACUCGUUAAGGCUGAGCUGUGAUGGGGAGAAGACAUUGAGUCUUCGAGUCGUUGAUUUCACACUGCCGAGAAAAGCCUCUAGAUAGAAAAUAGGUGCCCGUACCGCAAACCGACACAGGUAGUCAAGAUGAGAAUUCUAAGGUGAGCGAGCGAACUCUCGUUAAGGAACUCGGCAAAAUGACCCCGUAACUUCGGGAGAAGGGGUGCUCUUUAGGGUUAACGCCCAGAAGAGCCGCAGUGAAUAGGCCCAAGCGACUGUUUAUCAAAAACACAGGUCUCUGCUAAACCGUAAGGUGAUGUAUAGGGGCUGACGCCUGCCCGGUGCUGGAAGGUUAAGAGGAGUGGUUAGCUUCUGCGAAGCUACGAAUCGAAGCCCCAGUAAACGGCGGCCGUAACUAUAACGGUCCUAAGGUAGCGAAAUUCCUUGUCGGGUAAGUUCCGACCCGCACGAAAGGCGUAACGAUUUGGGCACUGUCUCAACGAGAGACUCGGUGAAAUCAUAGUACCUGUGAAGAUGCAGGUUACCCGCGACAGGACGGAAAGACCCCGUGGAGCUUUACUGUAGCCUGAUAUUGAAAUUCGGCACAGCUUGUACAGGAUAGGUAGGAGCCUUUGAAACGUGAGCGCUAGCUUACGUGGAGGCGCUGGUGGGAUACUACCCUAGCUGUGUUGGCUUUCUAACCCGCACCACUUAUCGUGGUGGGAGACAGUGUCAGGCGGGCAGUUUGACUGGGGCGGUCGCCUCCUAAAAGGUAACGGAGGCGCUCAAAGGUUCCCUCAGAAUGGUUGGAAAUCAUUCAUAGAGUGUAAAGGCAUAAGGGAGCUUGACUGCGAGACCUACAAGUCGAGCAGGGUCGAAAGACGGACUUAGUGAUCCGGUGGUUCCGCAUGGAAGGGCCAUCGCUCAACGGAUAAAAGCUACCCCGGGGAUAACAGGCUUAUCUCCCCCAAGAGUUCACAUCGACGGGGAGGUUUGGCACCUCGAUGUCGGCUCAUCGCAUCCUGGGGCUGUAGUCGGUCCCAAGGGUUGGGCUGUUCGCCCAUUAAAGCGGUACGCGAGCUGGGUUCAGAACGUCGUGAGACAGUUCGGUCCCUAUCCGUCGUGGGCGUAGGAAAUUUGAGAGGAGCUGUCCUUAGUACGAGAGGACCGGGAUGGACAUACCUCUGGUGUACCAGUUGUCGUGCCAACGGCAUAGCUGGGUAGCUAUGUGUGGACGGGAUAAGUGCUGAAAGCAUCUAAGCAUGAAGCCCCCCUCAAGAUGAGAUUUCCCAACUUCGGUUAUAAGAUCCCUCAAAGAUGAUGAGGUUAAUAGGUUCGAGGUGGAAGCAUGGUGACAUGUGGAGCUGACGAAUACU